rnacentral:misc_RNA from 1 species
UUAAGUUCAGCGGGUAGCUUGCCUGAUUUGAGAUCAUGAGGAGGGGUGUGGUUGUCAACAACAUCAAGUGAUACCCUUGACAAUACAAUUCAAUUCACGGCGAUCACUGCUGAAUGCCCAGGUCGUCCAUCAAUGUAUUGAUGAACAUAUGUGGAUAUGAUUCUCAAACAGGCAUACCCUCGGCAGGGCCGGGAGGUGCC